GAAGAAAUUCAGAAAAUGUUGCCUGAAGAAAAAGUUUGUAAGUACUGUGGAGUCAGCUAUCUAAUUCUUCAUGAAUUUAAGGCUAUGGAAGAAAAAGUGAAAGCAAUGGAAAAAGAGAUGAAAUUUUAUCAAGGAAGUGUAGAUCGUGAAAAGAGACUUCAAGAAAAGCUGCAUUCUCUUAGCCAAGAACUUGAACAGUACAAAAUUGACAACAAAUCCAAAACAGAAAGGAUUUAU
rnacentral:lncRNA from 10 species